CGCCACAGCACUUAAACUGAGGAGGAAAACACAAAGAAAGAUCCGCAGUCAUUGCCAAGGCCAGGGUCAGAGGCAGGAAGCUCCGGCUAAGAGGAUGCUGAUGAGGCCAGAGCUGUCAAGAAGUGGCAUGGCCAUCCAAAAGGGGGUAAGCUCUCCACCCAGAAGAGACAUGCAAGGCAAGGCUGGACUCCUUCAACUGGACACGAGGUAGUGACUAGACACUAAAAGGAAGUCUGUCCCUGGCAACUGGUCUGUAUCUUCUCCUUCAUCAUCAAGCCCCCGGGGGUAGGGGUCUAGCUGGAGAAGCAGCCUCAGAGGCCAGCCAGGGGAAGCUCUGCUCCAUCCUGACCUUGGAAACCUGAAUAAACUACCCUAGGCUCUCCCCUUAGCCUCCCCCUCCCACCUCUCCCUUCUGUGCCAGGGCCAGCUUGGGGGUGGGGGUGGUGGCAGAGAACAGUUGUACAGAGGGACUAGCUGGAUGGCUUCCUCCUGGGCUCUGCACAGACAGACCUAUUGGCCAAAUGAUGAGAGCCACAGCCAAGCAUGCGGGCAUGCCUGGAAUCCCAGCAGGAGGAAUGGUACAAGUUUGAAGCCAACCUGGGCUACAUAGUGAGUUCUAGGACAGCCUCGGCUACAGUAUAAGACCCUCAAAAACAAAAACAAACACAAACAAACAAAAAGAACUAUACCAAAACCACCUAGAGGAGAGGGUGACCAGUAAGGGAUGCUGUAUACCUGGGCACAGGGAAGUGGGGGGAGGGGUGGCUUUAUGUUGGGAGGACAGGAAAGGCUGCUCAAAGGAGAGGACAUUUCAUCUGAAACAUGAACAAGGGAAAGACAGUGAACAUGUAUGUGCAAAGGCCCUGUGCAGAAGCGAGGCUGUUCUUCAGCAGCAGGUGGAAACGCCAGUGAGCAGAGGGAAUGAGGUUCAGGGAACAGAAGCCAAAUGUGAAGAGACCCACCAGGCAGAGCAAACAGGGGUCUGGGACUGUGUUCCAGGAGUGGGGAGCUGAAGGACCAUGUCGGGGUCUGGACUGUGUUCCAGGAGUGGGGAGCUGAAGGACCAUGUCGGGGUCUGGACUGUGUUCCAGGAGUGGGGAGCUGAAGGACCGUGUGGUAGGAGCACAGGUAGACACCACUGGGCCCCCUUCUGAAGUCUCCACAGUGCCCUGUCAGCCACCAGGACUUCCUUGGGAUCCACAAAUGCCUAUGUGCAAUGUUGUAUAGGGGACAUUUAUUCUGCUGCUGGACAGAUACACAUUCAAAUCCUCACAUCACCACUCCAGAAGAGUGACCAUAGGCAAGGUGCUCAGCCUCUCUGGGCCUCAGAAGCUUGUCUGCUAAAAAGAGCAAUGCCAGCUCUGUAUGGCUGAACCGGACUGUAAGAGAGUCUCCGCAGGGAGCAUUCUGCACCAGGCCCAGUGAGCAUUAGUCACCUCCUACCCCCACCUAAGGAGAAAUUAAAUCUCCGAGCCAGCUAAAGGCUGGUUCCAACAAAAGCAUCUACCAGGCUCUCCCAGUCUGGGCUGGCAGGAAACACUCUCCCAGAAGCUGCACCUGUUUCUCCUACAGAGGAGCACAGAGCCAAAGGCCUGGGGUGUGGUGAGGCUGGGCCUCCGCUGAAGACUCACACAAGGGACCAGGAACACUCAACUGCCAGGUGUGGGGGGCCUGUGACCCUCCAAUAUCACUGUCCCCUGCUGUGGGAUGGCCUUUCUGUAUGCUGUGAAUAUGUGUUGCUACCAUUGGUUAAUAAAGAAGUUGCUUUGGCCUAUGGUAA